UGAGAGUUGGGAAUACCCGAAGCCUGUGAGCUAACUUUUAGAGGCAGCAGUCGAAGGUAGAAUCAAUGAUUGGGGUGAAGUCGUAACAAGGUAAC
rnacentral:rRNA from 1 species